GAAGGCUGAAAUUCGCCUUCAUGAAGUCGGAAUUGCUAGUAAUGGCAGGUCAGCAUACUGCCGUGAAUACGUUCCCGGGCCUUGUACACACCGCCCGUCACACCAUGAGAGUUGGAGAUACCCGAAGCCUAUGAGCUAACUUUUAGAGGCAGUAGUCGAAGGUAGAAUCAAUGAUUGGGGUGAAGUCGUAACAAGGUAUC
rnacentral:rRNA from 1 species